rnacentral:tRNA from 1 species
GGUCGUAUGGAGUAGUGGUUAACUUAGGAGAUUUUGACCCGCAAGCGCUCCUUGGGCGCUUUGCACCCCGAUUUCUCUUGCCCCGGGUUCGAAUCCCGGUACGACCC